AGAGUUUGAUCAUGGCUCAGGAUGAACGCUGGCGGUCUGCUUAACACAUGCAAGUCGAACGGGGGUAGAAAUACCCUAGUGGCGGACGGGUGAGUAACACGUGAGAAUCUAGCUUCAGGUUCGGGACAACAGAGGGAAACCGCUGCUAAUACCGGAUAAGCCUUAGGGUAAAAGAUUAAUUGCCAGAAGAUGAGCUCGCGGCCGAUUAGCUAGUUGGUGGGGUAAAAGCCUACCAAGGCGACGAUCGGUAGCUGGUCUGAGAGGACGAUCAGCCACACUGGGACUGAGACACGGCCCAGACUCCUACGGGAGGCAGCAGUGGGGAAUUUUCCGCAAUGGGCGAAAGCCUGACGGAGCAAGACCGCGUGAGGGAGGAAGGCUCUAGGGUUGUAAACCUCUUUUAUCAGGGAAUAAGCAAUGAAGGUACCUGAGGAAUCAGCAUCGGCUAACUCCGUGCCAGCAGCCGCGGUAAUACGGAGGAUGCAAGCGUUAUCCGGAAUCAUUGGGCGUAAAGCGUCCGCAGGUGGUAGUUCAAGUCGAUUGUCAAAGGCAGUAGCUUAACUACUGACAGGCAGUGGAAACUGAGUCACUAGAGUGCGGUAGGGGUAGAGGGAAUUCCCGGUGUAGCGGUGAAAUGCGUAGAGAUCGGGAAGAACACCAGUGGCGAAAGCGCUCUGCUGGACCAGCACUGACACUGAGGGACGAAAGCUAGGG
rnacentral:rRNA from 1 species